AUGUCGUCCUUCGACUCCGUCGCUGCCAUCGCCGGCGACGACGAAGCGCUCACACAUUCUCCCUUUGGCAUCUCCGAGGGCUACAACGCCGAGGGCAGCCGGGACCACGGCAUGCAUCGCGGCCACCGCUUCGCCACGUCCUACUCCUCCUUCGGCACCGCCCUCUCCGAGGACGACCUUGCCGGGAUCGCGGGCGAGGGGUUUGGCGGUGGGUAUGGCGCGUACAGCAUGGCGCCGGACUCCAACGGCAGCGGCUACAUCGGGGUCGAGGAAGUGCUGAUGGGUAGCCUGCUCCAGGGCGGCAUCGGUGGCAGCAUCGACGACGACCUGUUCGUCAGGGCUGUCGACGACCGGGCCGUCCUGCCGCCUCCGGAGGCCAUGAGAGACGAGGGCCUCCUCCGGCGCGAAUGGCGCCGCCAAAACAGGCUGAGGCUGGAGGAGAAGGAGCGCAAGGAGAAGGAGCGGCGCGGCGAGAUCAUCGCGGAGGCCGAGGAGUUCAAGAAAUCCUUAAUCGAGAAGCGCAAGCUGAACUGCCAGAGGAGGCGCACACACAACAGAGACAAGGAGAAGGUGUUCAUGGCGAACCAGGAGAAGUUCCACAAGGAGGCGGACCAGCAGUACUGGAGGGCGAUCGCGGAGCUGAUCCCGCACGAGAUCCCGGGGCUGGAGAAGCGGGGCGCCGGCGGCAGGAAGAAGAAGGAGCUGGAGAAGAAGCCCAACAUCGUGGUGGUGCAGGGGCCCAAGCCGGGCAAGUCCACGGACCUCUCCCGGAUGCGCCAGGCCCUCGCGAAGCUCAAGCAAAACCCGCCGCUGCACAUGGUGCCGCCGCCCCCGCCGGCGACCAAGGAGGAAAACAAGGACGGCGACAAGGACGCCAAGAAGGACGGUGGCAAGGGUCCAAAGCAGGUGGAGGAGAAGAAAGACGGCAAGAAUGCAGCUGGGGAGGGCGAGAAGAAGGCGGCGGCCGGUGACGGACGGAAGGCUCCGACAGGUGGUGGCAAUGCUACUGCUUCCGCUCCCCCGGCGGAUAAGGCAGCUGAACCACCAGCGGCGAAGAAGUGA
rnacentral:rRNA from 1 species